UGAGCGGCGGACGGGUGAGUAACGCUGGGUAACCUGCCUCAUACAGGGGGAUAACAGUUAGAAAUGACUGCUAAUACCGCAUAAGACCACGGUACCGCAUGGUACAGUGGUAAAAACUCCGGUGGUAUGAGAUGGACCCGCGUCUGAUUAGGUAGUUGGUGGGGUAACGGCCUACCAAGCCGACGAUCAGUAGCCGACCUGAGAGGGUGACCGGCCACAUUGGGACUGAGACACGGCCCAG
rnacentral:rRNA from 1 species